rnacentral:rRNA from 1 species
UACGUAGGGCGCAAGCGUUGUCCGGAAUUAUUGGGCGUAAAGAGCUCGUAGGCGGCUUGUCACGUCGGUUGUGAAAGCCCGGGGCUUAACCCCGGGUCUGCAGUCGAUACGGGCAGGCUAGAGUUCGGUAGGGGAGAUCGGAAUUCCUGGUGUAGCGGUGAAAUGCGCAGAUAUCAGGAGGAACACCAGUGGCGAAGGCGGCUCACUGGCUCAUACUGGACGCUGAGGUGCGAAAGCGUGGGGAGCAAACAGG